GGCGUUGACACCGCGCCCCACACCCUGACCAGGUUCACCCGUGGGUGGGUGGCGAGCUAGCGGCAUUCAGAAGAGCGAGGCCCGCAGUCUGUGCAGAAGACACCUGCACUCGGGCGUGUGUGGCGGCACAAUUCACAAGCAGCUCCAGAUGUUAGUACAAAGAGAAGCCAGGGAGUUCCCAACGCCCCAGGUGUCCUCAGCCCACGACUGGCUGCUGUGGGAAUGCGAAGCCCGGCUCCUUGUCUCAGAGCGGGACAACCAGGAGGUGUGAUGUACACCCCGGGGUUCCCAGGAGGAUCAGGCUGAAGCUGGGACUUGGCCUCAAAGUGUCCCCUCGCAUGGCCACCCCCUUCCCCUUCCUGCUCCUCUACUCCUGGUGCCCCUCCAUCCAGGGGCCAGACCUUAAAGAGUCACCCGCAAGAGAAUCCUGGUCCCAAAGGAGCCUUCUGGGGGACCCGUGCUGAGAGAGGUUGUGGGCAUGGCCCGCUGGGGCUCUGCCCGACCCAGGGCUGAGAGAUGCAACCUCCCAGCUCUGGGUCCCUGCAGGAAGUGUUGGCAAGCACAGGGCCAGUCCUCCAAAGGCCCAGGUGCAGGGAGCCCAGGCCAAGCAGCCCGUGGAAGAAGCCACAUGCCGUGCCACCCCGGGAACACGACUGCAGGUCACGGCCCCCCCCUUCCUCCUCCUCCUCCUCCUCCUCCUGCUCCUCCACCCCCCCCCGACCUCCCACCCCCCCACCCCCGACAUGGCGCAGGGCUCAGAGACACCUCAGACACUUGCUACCCAAAGUGCAAAGGGCAUCAGUUGCUCCUCCAACCCCCCCCCCAGCAGACCACGUUGUCCAGCCAGCCCCCGGGCCUCCCUGGGGUGCCCAGCACAAAAGUGCAGACACCCACCGGACCCUCAAUCUCAGUUUUCGGAUGUUUUUGCCACUCUAAGGACCCGCAGGCCAGCUGGGCCUUCGGGCAGGACAGAGAGCCCCGGAAUCCGACGUGGAGAGCUGCGUGUACGUCCCCAGUCCCCACCUCCGCGGCUCUCCCCUUGCGGGGAGCGGCAGCCCAGCCGGCAGCCGCAGGGCCUCAGGGAAGACACCAGGCUGGGCCCCCGCGGCACAGCGGGGGCACGUCCCCCGCACGCGACUUAGGGACGGCUGCUGGAGACUGCUGCGGCCACCCUGCUGCCGGGUUUCUGGAGGGC
rnacentral:lncRNA from 1 species